rnacentral:rRNA from 1 species
GUGCCAGCAGCGGCGGUAAUACGUAGGGCGCAAGCGUUGUCCGGAAUUAUUGGGCGUAAAGAGCUCGUAGGUGGUUUGUCGCGUCUGCCGUGAAAACCCGAGGCUUAACCUCGGGCUGGCGGUGGAUACGGGCAGACUAGAGGUAGGUAGGGGAGAACGGAAUUCCCGGUGUAGCGGUGAAAUGCGCAGAUAUCGGGAGGAACACCGGUGGCGAAGGCGGUUCUCUGGGCCUUACCUGACGCUGAGGAGCGAAAGCGUGGGGAGCGAACAGGAUUAGAUACCCUGGUAGUCCACGCCGUAAACGUUGGGCGCUAGGUGUGGGUCUUUCCACGGACUCCGUGCCGGAGCUAACGCAUUAAGCGCCCGCCUGGGAGUACGGCCGCAAGGCUAAAACUCCAAAGGAAUUGACGGGGCCCGCGACGAAGCGG